GAUGAACGCUGGCGGCGUGCUUAACACAUGCCAGUCGAACGGUGAAGCUCCAGCUUGCUGGAGUGGAUCAGUGGCGAACGGGUGAGUAACACGUGAGCAACCUGCCCCUGACUCUGGGAUAACAGCCGGAAACGGCUGCUAAUACCGGAUAUGCACCAUGAACGCAUGUUCUGUGGUGGGAAAGAUUUUUCGGUUGGGGAUGGGCUCGCGGCCUAUCAGCUUGUUGGUGAGGUGAUGGCUCACCAAGGCGUCGACGGGUAGCCGGCCUGAGAGGGUGACCGGCCACACUGGGACUGAGACACGGCCCAGACUCCUACGGGAGGCAGCAGUGGGGAAUAUUGCACAAUGGGCGAAAGCCUGAUGCAGCAACGCCGCGUGAGGGAUGACGGCCUUCGGGUUGUAAACCUCUUUUAGCAGGGAAGAAGCGAGAGUGACGGUACCUGCAGAAAAAGCGCCGGCUAACUACGUG
rnacentral:rRNA from 1 species